AAAGAAACAAAGGACAGCAUUUAUGCUCUGUGCAAAGUCUUCAGGGGAUGUUUUGUUUGUUCACAGAUAUUACCAAAGUGACACUUAGACUUUCACAGACAACAAACAGAAAGCCAUGCCAUCCUUAUUCUGCACCUGGCACUGGAUUUCAGCAAUUAACCUGAGGAUCUAGAGAGAGUUUGAACACAUAAUUGCUAAGAACUCACUCACUGGUCAUUUUCUUUGAGUUAUGGAUUGCUACUAGUCAUAGUACUGGGCAAAUAUGCCCACAAAAACUGGAAUCCUACAGGAAAUAAGACAUCAAUGCCAAUGUGUAACCAUAUCUACAACAGCUGGGUUUGGAGUUUUUUGCUGCUGUUGUUGAUUGAGGUUUGGGGGAUUUUUUUUUUAAUUUUUUUAAGUCUGUGAGGCCUGAUCCACUUGGGAAUGCCAAGAGUUGUAGAUCAGUGAACUGUCUAGUUAUGAACAGUAAUGUAUAGAACCAGACUGCUAAACUAAAAUGGAAGUGAAGAUCAAACAGGCAGAUUUUAAGCAAAGAAAAAGCUCAUCACUGAUGCCUGCUGUUAUCAACAGCUCUGAAACCAAACUGGUGUGAGAUCAGAGACUCAAAAAUACUGCCAGGAAAUACAACCAGAGUUUUUCGCUACUGCAAGGACUCUAACAAGGUAGUGUCUGUUGAAACAUUUUGAUUUGCAAGUGAAAAUCCAACUGUCAUUUCAAAUCUAAAAUUUUUCUUCUCUAACACAUCUGCAUAAUUUCUUACCAGUUCUGAAAUCUGUUGUUAAUAAUAAGAUAGUGGCCUGUUAAGAUAAGAAAGACAGUAUUCUCUAACUGAUGUAAUUAUAGACUCUUUAAACUAACUUUUUAAUAGACAUCUUACACACUAAAAUUUUGUUUAUUUUUUUCAUUAAUUUUAAAAAUUAAUUCUCUUUAAUUUUUAGCUAAAAUUGGAAGAAACAGUAACAGUCACUUGGUGUAAAGUCAUAAGGUACACUGUUAUUUUAGCCACAGUAAAUUUAAGUGAACAUAAAUUAAUUACUUAAAUAUUUAGUCAGAUAAAAUUGGACCAUAUUUUUCUUUUUUUUUACAAAUAACAAUAGAAGUUCUGAAAGCAAGUGGUCUUUCUUCAUAAAGGGCUUUGACAACACUAGUUCAUGUUAGCACCUUUUGAUGGAAAGAUUUUUGAAAUUCAAAACCAGUUUGCUCUUAAGAAUUAGGUGUUCUCUUAAAAAUUAGGCUUUUUGAAAGUUCCUUUAUGUUGGGGAAAAAAACCAAGGAAAAAGGCUAAAUGGGUAAGUUUUCUUAAAUCCUUUUGUAAAUCCUUUUUUAAUUCCUAAGUUUUCCCCAGUAUAAUCAAACAGCAAAAUCAUGGUAAUGGACAAACUGAUGAUGUCCAAAUGUAAUUAUAUGUUGUCUAGUUGAGAUCUCAUGUAAAAGAGAAUAGAAAGUUGCAGUCAGGAAUGUUCAACAAUUCCAACAGACUAUUUCUUUGCAUUUUAUGAGAUUUCUCUGGUAGUGUUGUCUGUCUCCUAUGACACGAAGCAUUUAAAUGAAAAAGAAAUUUGUUAUUAUACAAUUUAAAGCUUUUUCACUUGCUAUUUCCUCCUGAUGCCCUGAUAAUGUCAGAAACAUGACUCUUCCAUUUUGCCACCCCUUAGACAGGUUAUCUCUGGGUUGAGAUUUAAGGAAGUUAGGUCCUGAUUGUUGUGAUACAGUAGAAAUUUUCUUCAUGAAUCAAUAUCGAUUCAGUGGUCAUGUAACUUUGGGGAAUAGUUGUACAAGUAAAAGUGCAUGAAAUAUCAUCAAUCCAUUGCUUUACUCUGGCAGUUCCUGGGACAAGAAAUACUGUAAAUCAGAUAUACUUCAGUAGGAAGGACUGAAGAAGUAUUUUCUUGUAGAACAGAUUUGAGGUGAGCUAAGGAACAUCAUUGGUGCAAAAAUGACAAAGUGAGAUCAAGGCAGUGGGGGAUACAUUAAUGCCAUUCCAUUUUAGCUUGCACUUCCACUUCUCCAUUUUGCAUCCAUCCUUCUUUCCCCUGGCUGGGAAGAAGAUAAUGAAGGGUGUCCCUUAUUUUUUUCUUUCUUCUACUUACUUUUCAGCCAUAAGUGAAACAUUUUUCAUUUUUCCUCUCUUGUCACUCCUUUUUUGCCUGUGUAGAUGGAUUUUGGCAGUACUGGUGAAUCAUACAAAAAUGAGUGCUUUGGUGAGAAAAACUAGAAACCUCUGGCAUGUUGGGAAAUCUGGAGUGCUACAUUCUACAUUUCCACUUUCAGAUCAAGUUUCCCUCUCUUUGCAGUGACUUAUCUCUAUAGUUAACCUUAUCAGUGGAUAAAUAACAUCUAAUAAGGAAAGCAAUUUUAACAGUUCGUCCUUAAGAGAACUUAACAGAGAAUGAAGUUAAAGCCACAUAAAAGGCAUAUACUCAGAAGACCAAAGUACCUGUAUUUUUCAUAAUCAGUUCUUAAAAUAUUUUCUGCAUAUUCACAGGACAGACUGCUUUUAUUGCCUAUGUCUGGAAUAAUGCUGUAUUAAAAUCUAUAACUAUAUAAUUAAAUAGUGCCCUAACUAUAUAAUGAAAUAGUACCUUUAUUUGGUAAAAAUGUAAUACCUACUUUAUAAACUUCCAUCUGGGUUUUUUGUUGGUUGGGUUUUUUCAGUUUUAAAAUAGCUGGUAUCCAAAAAGGAGAGGGGGAAUCAAAAACAAAGCCAUGAAGUAUUUUCUUGAAGAUUCCUCACAAAUUUUAUGAAUAAUCACAGAAAAUACUAAUUUUUAUUCAGUUACAGGCUAUUCCUGCUCCAAAUUAAUGUUCAUUGUCCCAGACCAAAGCACAUGAAAGAGUUUUUCCUCACAAAAUUUUAAGCUGCUUGGUGCUUAGCAGUCUUUCAAGAUUGCUCUAAUGAAUCUUUUGUCCAUAAACAGAAAAUCAAGCCUUUGUUAGCCUCAUUCCUACUGUAAUCCCACCACUGUUCGGUUUUCUGUUCCAUAUGAUAACUUUCACUCAGAAUAAGCUACUUUAUGUACAAUAAGUUAAACCAUUUCAGAAAUCAUCUUUUUCAAUCACUAACAAGUUUAGUUUGUUAUUACUAAAAAAGAAAACUAUGUGGUAACUGUCUUAGAAUUUCAACUUAGCAAUAUUCUUUGCCUCAGCUUGCCAAUUCAUAUAUUUUCAAUAUCCCCUGGUGAGUUAGCUGAAAUCGAGCCAAAAUAUUCCUUAGUGGCAUUAUUAUCUAUUAAGCUUGUAAAUAAAACAUACACAGCAACAGGACACACGAGGAAAACAGAUGAUAUGAUUAAAGACAGUAUAUGACAGGAUUAAAGACUGUCAGCACUGAUUUGUUGAAUUGUUGCUAAAGCCUAUUUCCAUGUAAAGCACAUUAAACCGGAAAAAUGCCCAAGCAGUAGCUAGAAUGAUCAAAUUCCUGCUCAGGAAGACUCCUAAGUGAUUACAGCAAAUGUUCGGAGUUUUUUAAUCCAUUUGAAAUCAAGGGCUUCCUUCUCACUACAAACUGUGGAGUAAAGGCUACAGAACAGCCGGUUUCCCUGAAUUAAAAACCCUGCGGGCUUUUUUGUCCCCAUUCUGCCCCUGCUUUGGCAGAAAUUAUAUGUUGUCAUGCAUUAAACUCUUUGUGUGGGAGGCUGUAAUGACCCAUACUCCCCAGGGAAGGGGCAAAUCCCUUUCACAGCUCGAAGAGGAGACCUGGAUACAAACAUCUUGAGCCCUGAGAUCCUCAGCAUCUUUACCCUCUAUGCUGAACAUGACUGGCACCUGGCCCUGGUGAGUUUAAGGCUUGGCUGUGCCCAGGCAGUGAUGUACAUCUGUUCUUUGUUUCACCUCUAUUUUUCAAAGAACUGGUAAAUUCAAUAGAAGAAUCCAUGCCUGUGUUUUUAACCUAUGUCUUUGGUUCCAUUCUUUACCCUCAGCCCACUGUUUUAACAUAAAAUCUGCAAAAAUGUGAUAUUCAAGUUAGAUCUUGUCCAGGAAAGGAGUUCUUACUGUUUUUUGAAGAGGUGUUAAGCAUGAACAUUCAGGUGUUCUGACAUUCCACUACUAUAAAGAAAUACUAUUUUUUGUAUGUCUAAAAUUCACAUGCAGUUUUUUAGGCUGAUAUUUUGCAAAGAUUAAAAAAAGUCCACAUGCUCUUGAUGAGAGAUGCUGUUUGGAGAAACUACUGUGAUUAUUUGCUUUUGUUUAAGAACACAUAAAUCAUGUGGGCUUGAUAAGUCAGUGAUUAUUUCAGUACAAACCUAAUCAUGAUUAUCAAGUGGAAAGGGGACAACCAUCUCUUCUUAGUGCUAACAAGCUGCUUGUAUUCAGCAUUAGAAAAAUAGUUUUAAGGCAGGUAGCUAGAACUGUGCUGCCAGUAAGUCAAGCAGCUUCAAAUGAUUUCCUAUUACAGCUUGAGAAGCUCUCCCUAGAAGAUGACGCUCCCAAUCAGUGCAUGGACAGGUCCCUGAGCAGAGACUCACAGUAUGCAUCUGUUGGCACAGUUCAGAGGACAGCAAAGAUGACUUAAAAUUGCCAAAAGCAACAGAAGGCAUUCCUGCUGUCUGCUCCUAAACUCUGCAAAUCUAAUGCAAAUCUUUAGCUCCGAUAAGUGGAACUUGCCAAGGCAGGGAAUGGAGCAAAAAUCUUAGAAUGAAAUAAAUUUAAUAGCUCAUCCCUCAUCCUGAGAACAGGCCUGGGAAGGGCAAUCCCUCUGCAAUCAGGGAAUUGUAUUUCAGUGUCUGUAAUAUCUGUCAAAUUCCGAGGUGAGAUUUCCCAUCCCUCUCUCCUUGAAUAAAGGUUACUCCUGGAAUUCUCUGUUGCCUUCUAAAGCAUGUUAUCCCAAAGGAUCAGAAAUAGCCAUGGGCUGUUCAUCCUGUGAGAGCAUGGUCACCAUGAAAAGGCAUAACAUCAUAGUGGUUUGUGAAAAAAAGUUUGGUGGAUUUAAUUCUUCUUCUGCUGAAAGAGUGUUCAUACAUGGAAAACAAAUACAUCUGGUGUUAGCUGGCAGUCCCAGUAGCCCUCACUGAAACCUCAUUUUUUGUAGAUGCCAGAAUUCAUGAUCCCCUCAGUUGCUGAGAUGAUGUCGAGGUAAGCUGAAGGCACACUGCUGGUCAGCUGCUUUCAGUACAGCUGUCCAAAGCAGUUCUGGGAAUGGUUACCACGGGAGCCAGCCACAGAAAUUGUCCAUGUGGCACCUUUCUGACAUAACACACUGAGGCAAGGGCAGGAGGGCUUAUUGUGAGAGAUUGAGAAUAUCAGAGUUGCUGGGUUUCCUCACCUCUGUGGCUUAUGCUGAGCUGAAUAACCGACUACAUCCAAAUCUACAGAUCAGGCAUUUCUAGAUUAACCCAUUCAAUUUGCACUCCUAAAACUUCUCAAAAUACAUUUUUUGAAUAACGUGCAAUUUUUGUACUAGUAAUUACAGUGCCAUGCAAGUCAAAACUCACUUGUGUACGGCAGUAAGGUAACAAUUUCUCUUGGGAAAAAAAAAAUUUUUGUAUUACUAUGUUAGAUAGAAUUUCUUUAUUUUGAUGAGGAACACUGCUUAAUAAACAAAUGACAGAAUUUGGUUUCAAAUUUUUAAAUGUGUCAGAAACAAGUGGAUAGAUUUUUUUAAAACCUUCUCACCUAAAAGGGAUUGUAUUGCCAGAGUAUGCAAUCCCAGAAACUUCCAUAGGAUUUCCGUGGUCAGGUUUUCAAAUAAAACCAUUUAGCUACUUAAAUUUUGCAAACCCAACUAUUUUCAAAUGAAAUAACUACAAACUAAUCAUAAACACAUAAGGGCAAACACAGCCAGAUGACAACUGGGCAUGUUAGGUCCAAUGCUAUGGCACAUGUCAGUAGUGACAACUAAACUGGACAGCUCACUUAAAAGCAGCUGUAGCUAAUACACUCAUUUCCAGCUAUAACAGACUUUUUAGCAAUGAAGCAGCAUGUGCAAAAGAGAGGAGUGGCUCCACCUUGGUGGUCACUUGUGGACAGAGGGGCACACAUUUGUGUCUGUUUCCCAUGUGUUUGUCAUCAGACUGGGAUAGGUUCCUGUGCAGUCAGUGCAUGGUUUAGAUGACUCAGUCUGUACUGGUGUUUAUAUGCGACAGACUUUUCUGACAUUGGUAGAAACUUUUCAGCUGGUAGAAACUUUUCUAUUUUUUUGUUGCAAUAACAUGGAGUACUACAGCUAGUACAGAAGAAAUUCACCCCAUCAUUGGAAGUCGUCCUGGUUCUAAAAGGAGCCUUCACUGCCCUGGGAACUGUUUGUCUAUGCUGCACCUACAAGUACUUAGGACCUUAUUCUUCUAACACCUGGUGUACAAGAUGCAAUUGUUCAGAAGAGUAAAAUCAAGAUCUUGAAGACAAAGGAACCAUGAAAGAAAAAUUACACAUUCUAUGCCAUGUUCCUCUCCAAGCUGAACUCUUUCUUGCAAGAGAAAACUUGUGGUUGAUUCCCGCACCAUGAAGACAUGAACAAAGACAUGACCUAUGUGGUUAAUGCUGUUGUAGUGUUGCAUCUAUUUUCCCAUGCCUCUUGGGAGUAUCUCAGCAAUUUGCUGCUGUACAGAGGUCACCCACAGCAGCUCCUCUUUGAAAUAACCUUGCUAAGCUUUUAAAUGGAAGAGCCUUUAGGAUCCCCUUUUGACAUAUCUGAAUCUAAGCAGGAAUAAACAGCUUCUCACACUGCA